GUGGCCUUAGCUCAGUUGGUUAGAGCGUCGGAUUGUGGCUCCGAAGGUCGAGGGUUCGACCCCCUUAGGCCACCCCA
rnacentral:tRNA from 1 species